UACGUAGGUGGCAAGCGUUGUCCGGAUUUACUGGGCGUAAAGGGCGUGCAGGCGGUCUGUUAAGUGCAGGGUGAAAGCUCCCGGCUCAACUGGGAGAGGUCCUUGCAUACUGGCGGACUUGAGGGGGGUAGAGGAAAGUGGAAUUCCCGGUGUAGUGGUGAUAUGCGUAGAUAUCGGGAGGAGCACGUGUGGCGAAGGCGGCUUUCUGGGCCCUACCUGACGCUGAGACGCGAAAGCGUGGGGAG
rnacentral:rRNA from 1 species